rnacentral:rRNA from 1 species
UACAGGGGGUGCAAACGUUGCUCGGAAUCAUUGGGCGUAAAGCGCACGUAGGCGGUCUGUUAUGUCGGAUGUGAAAGCCCUCGGCUUAACUGAGGAAGUGCAUCGAAACUGGCAGGCUAGAGUACUAAAGAGGGUCGCGGAAUUCCCGGUGGUAGAGGUGAAAUUCGAUAGAUAUCAGGAGGAACACCGGUGGCGAAGGCGGGUCGCUGGGCCGA